CUGUCAAGCGCCCUACUCCACCAUCCAGCACUUGCAUUCCGCAGAGUCACUCAAGAACUGUUUCUCAUUUGUUUUUCGAUCUACCUCUUUAAAAAGUCUGUGCCAUUCUGUGAGUGAGUUUGUGUGUGUGUGUGUGUGCCCGUUGGCGUUUGUUGUGUUGAUUCUUCCUUUCUUUUUUUUUUUCGCUCCCGCACGCACUUUGUUCGUUCUCUUUUUUUUGUGCUUUUGCUUGCUGUCGUGGCGUGCUUCCGCUGCCUCACCCGCCCACCCCCCUCUCCCUCCCUCCCCCUUUCGACGCGAGCUCCUUUUCCUGGCGUGCUCUUGUUGUUCAAGGGGGUCGCGUUCUUGUGAAGAAAGGAGGCGGCGGCAGAACAGCCGUCUCGGCUUCGCUGCCUCCAUCACUCGCUCUUCGGCGCUUGGUUGUAGUCUCUGCCUUCAGCACCCCCUACCCCGUGCCAAAAAUCACACGUAAACACAUACGCCUCCCCCUCCGCUCCUCACGCGGGUACCCAUUUACGGCUCGUGAAACGUACACGUGGUCAGCGCCUCGUGCAAGCCUCUGUGCCUGCGCUUACGUGUAUCUGUUUGGCGAGGGCGAUCGAUACGAACGAAAAAAAAAACUAGAAGAGAAUAGGGAAUCUAGUUUCCCCUGCCUCGCCGAGGCGAUUGUCUGUUUAGUUUCAUUGAUUUCAUAUCUUCCCUUCUGAUCGCGUGAUCGGCAACCUCAGCCUCUUAUCCCCCUCCCUCUUACUGUUCUCUCUGUUUUGCUGUUCUCAUUUUCUUUUAUUUUUGCUUUCUUUUGGCACACUCCAACAAUCGCGGCACAACGGUCGCCUUUCUUCUGCGUUCUCUCUCUCUCCGUGAGUGCUUGCAGAACGCACGCCACUGAAACAAGGGAGCCGCAAGAACGAGUGUUUUCUGCAUCAGUGGCGCUUUUCAGCACAUAUCAAGAAGACGAGGUGUGGCGAGACCGCGUGGUUCAUUCUGGCACAUACGCAGAGAAGAGGUCUGGGUUUCACGUGAUAUUCGACUGUAAAGAGCGAAAAAAAAACGCACGAUCCAAAAAGCGCCACCGUACGCGAACACUGCCAGGCAGUGCGUGGCCUCGAUCGUUAACACAUAGGCACGAACAUUCCUUUAUUUUUUGUCCUGUUGUUCUUCCUUUGGUCUGUUUAUGAUCUGUCGCCGGUGCUGAUUCGCUUCUCUUUAGGUUCUCUACUUUUUCUUCUUUUCCGACUUUGCUUUGCCAACGCCUCACCCGUAACUCUCGUACCACCGAACACGUGCGCGAACGCGCGCAAGAAUAUCGGCUCUCGCACGACGGCAAAAAUAAACAUAUACCCCCAAAACGGCACACAAGCAUACAUUCCUCUCCUUUUCACCUCUCCCCCUCUCCUCCUGCAGCUAUAUUCAAACACAGAGCUGAGUAAACUCACUUGCCGGACAUUUCAGAGACGCCGCUUUCCGUUCUCCCUCUUUUGAGCUCGCCAGUGCUUGUGCAUUUGUGUGCCAUACCUUUGCGUUUUUCUGUCGCUUCCGUUUGUUUUCUUUUUGUUCCGUGUGUGUGUCUCCCGGAUUUUAUUUUUCUUGUCUUUUUUCUUCGUGUUCGUUUUCCUCUUCUUCCUCUCCCUUCCCCCACCACAGGCGUUUUCGUCGUUCAAAACCUUUGACUACUAGGUCGUCACUCAAGCUCAUCUCGGCAGUCGAGCGGCCAAAGCCAGCGACCUUCCUCCACACCGCCACCAACGCCCGUCUACCUCUCUACACCUCUCCCCGUUCAACCACGAUACGAGGUGCUUCUCUUACUGGUUUCCCCCUCGCGGUUCUUUGUUGCUUCAUUCUCUACACAUGUGUCUGUGUGUUCAUCUUUUUUUUUAUUUUUGAUCUGUCCAACCUUUCUUUUUUUUGUCGUGCGCGCGUUUUGUGCUCUCUCUACAUGGUAUACGAGCACGGUGGCGAGUCUUUUGUGCAUGCCUGCGUUUAUUUCUUUUCGUCAUUCCUUCUCUGACUCUCUUCUUUGUGUCUCGGUCGUAAAGACUUGAGCCGCUCGAUCCAUUUGAGCUGGUGCGCGGUGUUGAGGUACUUUGAGGUAACGUGUACAGCGGGGCGAUCGUUCCUUGUUUUAUAUAAUUAUUUUUUUUCGCUCUUUUUGGCUGUGCCGACCCCCAAUUUCCCUGUCAUCUGCGCUCGACUGCGUGCCGUGGACGUCCUUUGCAAGCAGCUGCGUCUGUCAUCUCGCAUCUCCCGCGCCCUCCCUCCCUCCCGCUCGUCCUUUCCGAUUCCUCACGACGGCGGCGCACGCAGCUACGUCGUGUGUGCGUUGGCGCCCGUGCGAAACCGGCGUGAAGGGAAGUCGGCAGGAAACGAAAGCGGCAGCGCGUGACAAGAUACAUAGAAGGGCAUUAUACUUACACAGCCCCUCACCCCUACGUACCCCUACGCAUAGGCACACACGCACACGCCACUGCCUCCGAGGAAAAACAUCAACCGCAGUAAAACGUGGAAAAAAAGAAAAGCAGAGCAUUACGUCUCUUUUAUUUUUUUUCUUUUCUGCUCUGUAUUUCUCUCCUUUUGUUGUUUCGUAAGCUUUUUUUCUUUUGUUUACUUUCUGUACUUUCUCGCUCGUGCUUGGUGGUCGUCUUCCCUUCCCCUUCUCCCCUCUCCUUUCCACGAGCCAACCAAUCCGCGCAAACACACAUAUAUAUAUUUAACUACCUUGCGAAGUACUUCUCCGCGCUCCUGUGUGUCAAGCUUCUGCGCAUGCGCCUCGGAAUUCCAAUCGGAGGAGCAUCGCUUACCUCACGCCUCAGCACCCUCGGAGCUCUUCUUAAUUUGAUCCUUUGCUGUUUUUGUUGUUGUUUUUUCGUUUUUUUUUUGCUUUGUUCGUUUCUUGAUUCAUUCCUUCUUUCCUCUUUUGGUACGACUCACCGCAGCGGCGCAGGGGCCCUCUUCAACCUUUUUACGCACAUUCGCAAGCGCAACAAUUCGAGUGCCGCUUGUUCAGAGAUGGAGGGCAAUCAGUCGGCCUUGACACCGACUCGAUCCAUCUUUCAACUACUGAACUAUCACAAUGGCCUCGAAGAACUGCUCUUGAUGUACUGGUGGGUGAUUGUACUCGGCAACCUCGUGCUCUUUGCGUUCGCGAAGCACUCGCUCAUGUGCUGGGAGCUGCAUCGGGACAGGCGACGCUUGGAAUGCUGCUACAUGCGUCACUGUCAACGUCGUCGUGCGGCGCGCCAGUUGAAGAGUGCGACAGCAGGCCUUUCACAUAGAACGGACGCUGAGGAAGCUGCAAGCACCACAAGCAACGCGCCAACAGAGACCUCGUCGUCAAGCAAGGACCCGGCCGAGGCAGGAACAGCGGCAAAGUACGCCGUCGACUAUGUCAGCAAGCGCGAAAAGAAGAAAAUGUGGUUUCCUUUGCUGGUGCCGGCCGUGCCAAAGCUGAACAAAUGUGUCUCGCCACCGAAGACAGCGGAGCUGACAGCAAAGGCCGCGCUAUGCCGAAAUCGAACCGAGCAACAGGAAACGACAGCGAGCGUGCAUGAGAAUGAUACCCGGCCGGCGUCGCUGCUGCUCCCACUCCCCUCCGCGACCUCUUCUGACCUCUCCUCGCCGUCACCGCUCUCGACAGCGCAGGCGAGCACUUCGGCAACGACGCGGCUGCUGAACCGGCUGGGCUUCAUGUCGCCUGAUCUUAGCCAAGCCAACGACGAAAAAUUCGAUGCCAGCCGAUACAGCAACAGCAGCAAUGCGUCCUCGCGGUUGAGCAACUGCUGCCCCCGCUACAGCGAGGACGAACAGCGCUUAAUUGAUAAGAAGCGGCAGGAAAAUGUACGUGCGUGGAUGGAGGCUAAGCGCGCCUUGGAGCUAACCGAGUCGCUCGCAGCAGGUUCCCGUGGGGUCAUACCGCUAUCGUCGGUCAAUGCGCGCGAGUUUCAGCCGUGUGAAAAAGGUGCGAUAGAGACGGAGCUCGUUUCAUGAGAUGCGAGCCCCCCCCCAUAGUGCGCACGGAUGCUUUCAUACUUAAUUCGUUUCGUCUCAGCUCCCUCCCCCCCCCCAGACGAUGCCGGCCAUCUCACCAUGGUAUCUCAGCCUCCAGAACACCCACUCUGUGUGGGGAAGCCUAGAACCUGCACAGCCUGCCCUCGGGUACGGCUGGCGGACUCUUGGCGUCGGCGGACAGGCUUGUGCUCGUUCUGUGCCGAAGAAACACGUGGCCACGAACACGAUUGGGCCAGCCCACGGCGAGCCGAAUGGGCGCUUCAACAUACAUGCGCAUCCCCCUACAACUUUGCCAUUGCUGCGUUGUGGUGAUGUUGAGCGGGAUUCCGGACCUAGCCGGCGCUGUAUGCAGUUGCAUUGCAGUUUUCUGGGCAUCGCCAGACGGUGUUGGUCGGCCCGCUUCCUUGACAAAUCCUCGAUACAAGUUUUGUAUUCCGCAAGAGAGGCAUGUCACGUCAGCAAACCUGCUAGGUACUUUAUUCGCAUGGCUUUUCAGCACUCGGGUACAGCAAGAGAGAAGCACCGCGCUGGGGUCUCCGUGCUCACAGAAGAGUACAUGCGCGUAGGUUCGGGCCCUAACCCUCUUAACGACAAGGGCGCAGCAGCGGCGUUGCGUCUGUGCUGCCACGUCCCUGCUGGACGCAUACACACCACCUCGGGCUGCACGCCUAACAGUCACCUCGCGGCACGGGAGGCCCUCCAUCACACACCAGGCAGCGUCGCACGAAGCCCACACUCCACGGGGCGGGGGCCGGCUCGGGCCGCCCGGUGCCCGACACGAGAUGACGAUCCAGCCGGCCAGGAAGGGGACCACCUCACACGAUUGACCCAAUGACGAACACCUGACGUGUGCAAGCCAUAGCGACACCACCGCACGGCACAGCGCCGACGCCACCACGCAGACGUUACCACAGCAUCGCGCGGCCAUCUGGAAGACAAUCUCCAGCCUCGGCAGUUGCGGACUUCCGCCGUUACCGCACGACUAUAGACCUAAUGGACUUGCCCCCCCCCCCCAAAGUAGACCAGCUUAGAGCCGUACCGCGCUCGCUGCAUCAUGGCUUUCCCGGACCAUCGCCCCACCCUCUGUGUUCGCGCCGCCCACAAGAACAAGUCCAAGAUGGCAAGGCGUGCAUGCCCAGUCGCACAACCAUCCCUCCUGGGCCCUCUUCACCUCAUGAUGGUAGUGGACCCCCCGAGUGUGGAGCGCAACCGGACGCCGGCACGGCCCCACGCCAUCUGUGCUCACCACACCACACUCCUCACAUCCUCCGCGGGCAAGGAUGUGAUGCAGGCCACACUACGAUUCGUCUCCUGCAAGGUGGCGCGCUGGACACUGAAGCACGCCAGACAGCUGGAUGAGCGUCCCCCAACACAAGGCGCACACGCGCCGGUGCGCGGCAUCGCAACCAGCCAGAGCUCUCCGGCUCACGCCAUGGCCUUGCACGCAGGGACCUGGUUACGCACGUCUCACACGCGCUGCACGGUCUCCCUCCCGUCGGGUGUCUGUGGCUGCCCCUCACACCCUCUGUGCCUCCUCAGGAGGACAAGCGAUGGUCUCUUUGUGCGCAGGCACAUGUCUAUGCAUGGACCCCUUCCGCUCCGCACGCCCAGUCCUGCGAAAGACGUGCGGGUUUGAGAGGAAGGUGAAAUGCCCCCUGCUGCCAGAGACUCAUGGCAGCGUCCCACCUGCCGCGGCGCACAUGCGGGCAGGCUGCCCAGGCACCCACCCCUCCGUGGCAUCGGCGGGAAUGGAAGAUGCAGCCAGCCAGCCCCUCCCUCCUCUCCCCGCCCUCAGGCAACAACGCCGCUCUGAGGCAGACCCCAGGAUGCCGAAAGGCGAGCACUGUGCGCACCCGCUGCGAACCGUUGCUGGCAUGAUGUAUGACAUGGCCGCAAAGGUGCCCAGAGGUGAGAAGCGCAAGAAUAACAGCCGCAAAGGGCGCGAAGGGGUCCCAUGCCAAUGCGCCCCACAGUGCGUGUGUGCGAACUAUGCUGCAUCUCCUACGGCCGACCGAGUGGGCUGAUGAGGCGCAGAUCUCGGAUGCGUGAGAGGAGCGCCUUGAACUGCACCAUCCAGUCCUCCGGACCACAGUGCGGAAUGCCGCGGCUUGAAGCGGCUGAGGGUGACGCACGGCAUACAAGGAGGGUACAGGAUGUCAGAGGGCUUCUGAGCUGCGGUUGGCCAACUUACUUCGUGGGCUCAUCCUACAUGCACCUGACCCCACCUCCUCUUGCUCACACGACGGACGCCAUCGCCUCCGCCUUCGAGCCAGGCCCUGGACGCGGCCCUCCUGCAUCAAGGCGUGCGACUCACCCGAGCCCGUGUGGCGCCAGCCGAGCAGCGCGUAUGCGAAGGAGGGACACGAGGAGGCCGUUAGACGCAUGGCCUGACUCGAGGGCAGCAGUCCCCUCCCCCCCUCCCCCUCCGAGGGGGGGGGGCAGAAAUUCAGCCGUAGUGCUAGAGAGGCUCGGUGAGCUGUGAUUGUGUGUGUGUUCGUGUGUAUUAUUGCGGACCUGUUCGUGCCAGAAUGGCCUGCUGAGAAGAAAUGAAUUCUUGCUUGUGGUGUGUCUGUAUAGGCGUUUUCGCCAUUGCGCAGGUGCGUAUAUCUUUAGUUGCCCGUUUCGGUUGGGGGUAUUCGGUGGAGUAGCAUUGAGACAUAGUUACAAAGAAAUGAGCAUAGUGAUCCACGAUAGCGUUGUAUUUUCUCCACGCAUGGUGAAGCGACAGAUCUGUAUAUCCGUUGCGGUGCGGUUCUGCUGCCUUGCUCGAUUUGUGGUUGAGGUCGUAGAAGGCGAGGGACGAAAAACGAAGGACGGUCGUAUGCAAAGAAACGAGUUCGUCUACUUGUUCUCGGCGUGUGUGUUGUUCCGGUUUGUUGGUGUGCAGCUGUUCUGAGAAAAGUGGGCGUGCGACUCGGCACAUCUGCGUCUUGGUAAAGCGCCCUGAAUGUGCGACGCGGCCCACGGCUGGUUCAAACCUUUCGUUUGACUUUUACUGUGUGUGUGGGGGGGGCUCUGUGUUUUGGUAUCGCCACGUGGCGUGUCCCCCGGUGCUCGUCGCUUUCGACUGUGUCGUCAAGAAACAGCUACACGGAGAACAGAGCUGAAGCCGUAAGGUGGUGACAGACGGAUGCUUUCGUGUGUGUGUGUGUGUGGCUAUCUUGAUCCAGUUCGCAAUCGUUUUCUUUGCGGGCAUAUGUGCCGCUCGUAAAUGGAUUUAAUCCGAAUAUCUGCCGGGUAUCGGCACUCAUGCUCGUUGCUGCAGGUGGUGGUUGUUUGCCUCGACUUCUUCCCCUCGUCUUUCCGUACACUUUCUCAUGCCGCUCAUUUUUGUGUACUUGUUUUUCCAGUUUUGUUUCUGCGUUUGUGUGUGCCAUGCGCACAAACGCUAGUCCCCCCCUCGUUCGUUCCCUCCUCGUUUCUUCCUAUCAUAGCCUAUAGGAGUAUCAUAAUGUGGGUACGGUGCUACAAAUUAGACGGCAUGAGCCGCCUUUCUUUAUCUCUGUUUUCUUUUUGGCUUCUUGCUUUCUCUUCGGGUUUCGGAUCAGCUUCACAAGUCUUGAGGGCAUCAGAGAAGCAACACAAAGAUGUCUCUGUGCGUGUGUGCUUGCACGUGUCUCGAUACCGAGAAUGCGCGGGACUUGUUCAACGGCGACAAACUAUUCUCGUUUGUCUUUAUCCAGCGGUCUCUUUCAUGUUGUUUUUCCGUUCACUGUUUCGGAGAGGCACUCACCCCCUCCCCUACGACGAAGGUGAAGUCUGCACAAACGCGCACGAAAGCAAACGUGUGGCACUCUCUCAGCGCUCCUCCACCACGGACACCCCCCUACCUGUUGUCAUUCCGCAGCUGUGUGGGUGCAGCCAACGGGCUAUUGUAUCUGUGCUUCUUUUUUUAUGUUGUUGGCUUGCUUUGCUUUCUGUACUUCUUUUUUUUUUCGUCGUUUUUUUUAUGAUUGUGCGCAAGAAGUCGCUUGCACUUCUCGUGUCUUUUCGGUUGAUGUCAUGUCGUCUUGGUUUGCCUUUGCUUUUUGUUUGUGGUUUGUGUGGGCACAAGUUCUUUUUCCCUCUCCUGCCUAUUUUUUGUUUUCUUCGGCGCGCUUGCAUGCUCUAGUACGCAGGUGCGUAUGUUCGAAUUUUUUAUGUCGUGGCCUCGUAUUCCUCGUCUGUGCCCGCAUUCCUUCCCUCGUUAUCCCCCCUUCUCCCCCGGUAUGUCUUUCGUGCUGCAGUUACGACACACAUUCUCGCCUGUAUCUCCGCUUCGCCUCUUUCGAGGUCUCCUUCUCUACAUUCGCACGUUGAUGCCCUUCCUUCGCAAGUGGUCGUCUCGUUCAAGUGUGGGUGUGCGCGCGAACGUCGAUUUCUCGUUUUGGUAGGAUCUCCAUUUUUCUUCACGUUUGUUAGCGUAGUGUCGUCGAUCCUCUCAAUUCAAGGCGCUUGCUUCUUUUCCGUUUCCCUUUUUUUUUGCUGUUAGACUAGUGGAGGCUCUGCACUGUGCGCAUGACUGCUCCAGUGCUUUUUUUUUUCGUGGCCGUUUGCCCUUUCUUUUUUUUUUUCAUUUAAGCGUUCGUGACGGGGUUGCUGUUUCUGUGCUUCUGCUCCGCGACGUGCGUCGAGUGGGAGAGAGUAACGAGUAUAGGUGAAGAGUUGGCGCAUCGGUGGGCGUAUUCUCGCCAUCUUUUUUUUCGACUUAGCUUUUUUUUGUUUUCGCUUUCUGCCUUACAAGCCGCAUGAUCACAAGAACCUCCGCUCUGCUCCUGGACACCUUGCCCUCUUCCUCAUGGCUCAUUUCUCUCAUAUCUAUGCGCACGUGCGUCUGUGCAUGUCUCGCGAACGACCCGAGUAGUGGCCUUGUGUGUCUCUCUCUUUGCUUAUUUUUCCUUCAUACGUAUUCGAUGCUCAUGAGCCGUUCCUCUAAUGUACGGCACGGCAUGCGCCAUGAGUAGCACUCUU
rnacentral:misc_RNA from 1 species